rnacentral:rRNA from 1 species
CCUACGGGAGGCAGCAGUGAGGAAUAUUGGUCAAUGGGCGCGAGCCUGAACCAGCCAAGUCGCAUGAGGGAUGACGGUCCUACGGAUUGUAAACCUCUUUUGCCGGGGAGCAAGCGUGCGUUCGUGAACGCGCGUCGAGAGUACCCGGAGAAAAAGCAUCGGCUAACUCCGUGCCAGCAGCCGCGGUAAUACGGAGGAUGCGAGCGUUAUCCGGAUUUAUUGGGUGUAAAGGGCGUGUAGCCGGGUUGACAAGUCAGAUGUGAAAUCCUGCGGCUUAACCGCAGAACUGCAUUUGAAACUGGUGAUCUUGAGUACUGGAGAGGCAGACGGAAUGCCUAGUGUAGCGGUGAAAGGCGUAGAUAUUAGGAGGAACACCAGUGGCGAAGGCAGUCUGCUGGACAGCAACUGACGGUGAGGCGCGAAAGCGUGGGGAGCAAACAGGAUUAGAUACCCCGGUAGUC